UUAAUUGAAACCAAAAAAGAGGUUUAUUACUGUUAAUAAUAAUAUUGAAUUAAAUUCCAAUUAAA
rnacentral:tRNA from 1 species